CUGAAGAGUGAUUGGUCUGAAGAGUGAUUGGUCUGAAGAGUGAUUGGUCUGAAGAGUGAUUGGUCGGGGAGCGAGGACUGAGAGGCGGUUGAAAGCAAGAGUAGGGACAGGGGCAAAUAAUUCUCGAGUCCUCUUAAGAGAAACACAUUGCAGUUAACUGUGACAAAAUAUGAGGAAGAGUUUCCAGGGUUCCACUGCAGCUUGAGCCUAGUUUCUGGCUAAGUAUUUUUUAUCUAAAAAGCACACUCAGUGUAUCUGAAUCCCUGCCGAUUUCAAAUUUGACCAUCUUUCUUCAUGGACUCCCCACCGGUGGAAUCAAGCAACACAGAUCAAAAAUACAAAAGUUUGAGUUGCAUCUGGGCCCAGCACGCACAGCCUCCUUCCUCGUGUUGUUAAUACUCAGACAACGCAUACGACAACUGGUUACACGGAAUCCCAUUGUACUAGGAAACUUUUACUGGAACUGACCUAAAAUACGUAUAUGGCUCACAACCCUGGGAGAGAUCUUUAGUACAAACUGUCACUCUGUUGGUGUGAGCGCUCACAAGGCUACAUCAGACAUGCUAGUCUGCUUUCAAAGCUCGCUUGAUCUGAUGUGAGAGUCACUAAAGCACAGGGAAAUGCUGACCUGUGCAGUCUGACCACCAAUGGCCGCUAUUUCUGGGCUGAGCUAGAAACUGCAGAUCUUGAGGCUGAGAUUGGUGGACAUGAUGAAGGACGUGUACACGGAAGCUGGUCUCCCCAUGGGAGAGUCCGCUGUACAGCAGAGUGCUAGGUUCAAGCAAGCUCGAAUGCCCUGUGCAAAAAGAGACAAUCUGAGAAUCAACGAGAUGAAUGUAAAUAAAUAAAUAUUAAAAAUAAGAUGAAGGGGGGAGGCUGGAGAGUUGGCUCAGUGGUUACGAGCUCUUCCAGAGGCACUGAAUUUAAUUCCCAGCAACCCACAUGGUGGCUCCCAACCAUCUGUAAUGGGAUCCAAUGUCCCCUUCUGGUGUGUCUGAAGACAGCAACAUUGUUCUCUUAUACAUAAAAUAAAUAAAUAAACCUUUAAAAAUAAAAUAAA